UGCGCAAACAGUUGUUUGUUAUGUAUUGCGAUUUCUUGGGGCUUACGAAUGAGUAUUCGAAGCCCAAAAUUACGCCCGAGGGUCAGCCCAACGCUCUUUGUGAGAUUAUUGUCGGUUGAGACCUUUUCAAGGUCCAGACAAUGGCGAACUGAAUUUCAACUCAAUGUCCUUGUCACAAUGGACAUUAAAUUCAAAAAUUGUGACUGAAAAAUGGGGAAAAAACAAGUAAUGUUGCCGGCGAAUGAAGUAGACCUUACUGCAGUCGAAUAUGUGCCCGAAAAAAUUGAAGCUCCACAUUUGACGGGGUUUUGGUUCAAGUUGUUUGUUAAAGUAAUGGAGGCACCUGUAAUUGGUUCUUUUAUUGCUAGUCAUCUGAAGGAGAAGAAUGGGAUUACUGAGAUUCUGAAGAAUACUGUGAUACCAGAGGUUCCCAUGUUCAUUCCCCAGUUCCCUCUUCAAGAGCAAGAGCCUGGUGUUGUUUGCUUAGGAGAAGAUGGAAAACAUAAAGAACAGGUUGAUUUAGCAUUGAAGUAUCUUCCACAUUAUGAUCCUGCUAGUAGAUGGAGUUCUGAUUCAGGAGAAUCAUCCCAAUUCCGCUGCUGGAUAAUUCGUGAUUAUGAAUAUGCAUACAGAAAUAAGCUAACGACCCCAUCCAUGGUUGCAGAGCACUUUAUCUCAGCAAUGGAGGUAUUUAAUAGUAAGCAGCCAUCAGCACCAUUAUUAAUCUCAUUUGACCCUGAGGAAGUGAGAAGGCAAGCGGCAGCUUCCACUCAAAGAUUUGAGAAAGGAAAACAACUGUCAAUCUUGGAAGGGAUUUUCAUUGCAGUCAAGGAUGACAUUGAUUGCUAUCCUCAUCCUUCAAAAGGUGGUUCUAAAUGGUUUCAUGAGGUUCGCCAGGUGAAGGCAGAUGGGGUUCCUGUGUCAAGAUUACGAAACAAUGGUGCAAUUUUAGUAGGAAAGACAAAUAUGCAUGAGUUUGGUAUGGGCAUAACAGGAAAUAAUCCAAAUUAUGGUACACCUAGAAAUCCGCAUAAUCCAAAAAGGUACACAGGUGGUUCUUCCUCAGGUUCAGCUGCAAUUGUCGCUUCUGGAUUGUGCUCAGCAGCAUUGGGAACAGAUGCUGGAGGUUCAGUACGAAUUCCUGCUUCUCUUUGCGGGGUUGUGGGCUUAAAAACAACAUUUGGACGGACUGACCUGACAGGGUCUUUGUGGGAAGCAGGAACUGUCACAAUUAUUGGACCCAUCACAGCUACUGUUGAGGAUGCCAUACUUGUGUAUGCAGCAAUCUCGGGAUCCUCUCCAACUGAUCGAAUUCGGCUGAAUCCUUCCCUCCCUAAUUUUCCCGAUUUAUCUUCCAGUGAGAGUUCAAAUAUCUUGGGAUCACUUACCUUGGGAAAGUAUACAAAGUGGUUUAAGGAUGUUAGCUCGACCGACAUAUCUGAUAAGUGUGAAGAUGUCCUAAACCAACUAUUUCGUCGAUAUGGGUGCAAAACAACAGAGAUUGUCAUACCGGAGCUUCGUGAGCUGCGCACAGCUCAUACUGUUACUUUUGGAUCUGAAUCACUGUGCUUUUUGAAUCCUGAUUGCGAGGCUGGGAAAGGAGUUAGAUUGACUAAUGACACUCGCACAAAUCUGGCACUUUUCAGAUCAUUUGCAGCAUCUGACUAUAUAUGUGCCCAGUGUCUUAGGCGAAGGAUAAUGUACUACCAUAUGGAGAUUUUCAAGAAAGUAGAUGUCAUUGUAACACCUACCACUGGAAGAUUUCCGUUGAAUACCUCACUCGCGAAGUUUACACAUCGAAUGGAAAUGUAUAUGUUCAUGUAGAAUGACCUAAUGACAGCCCCAGAAAUUCCAGAAAGUGCUCUUGCAGUUGGAGAGACGAAUUUGCAAGUUGUAGCAAGACUAAUGCAAUUUGCUAUGACAGCAAAUGUUCUUGGACUUCCGGCAAUUUCUGUCCCUAUUGGUCAUGAUAAGCAAGGACUUCCAAUAGGCUUGCAACUUAUUGGUCGUCCGUGGUGUGAAGCUUCAAUCUUGCGUUUAGCUGUUGCAGUUGAGAGUAUAGGAAGAAGCCAGUGGAGUUCUAUGACAUCUUGAAAGGGAACGGUUUCCACGACUCCACUGAGGAAUAAGUUUUAAGCCUAACCUCAAAGGGAAAACAAGAUUCAUCACAAUUUGUGUUUGCGUCUUUUAAAAUAGCAGUUAAAUUUCUUUUUUGGCCAUGCAACUCACGCUUUGUAUAACUUUGUUCUUAAUUAUAUAUAUCUCUUAGCAUAGAUGCAUAUUCAUUAUUUAA